AGCGAACGCUGGCGGCAGGCCUAACACAUGCAAGUCGAACGGAUCCUUCGGGAUUAGUGGCGGACGGGUGAGUAACACAUGGGAACGUGCCCUUUGGUUCGGAACAACUCAGGGAAACUUGAGCUAAUACCGGAUGUGCCCUUCGGGGGAAAGAUUUAUCGCCAUUGGAGCGGCCCGCGUCUGAUUAGCUAAUUGGUGAGGUAACGGCCCACCAAGGCGACGAUCAGUAGCUGGUCUGAGAGGAUGAUCAGCCACACUGGGACUGAGACACGGCCCAGACUCCUACGGGAGGCAGCAGUGGGGAAUCUUGCGCAAUGGGCGAAAGCCUGACGCAGCCAUGCCGCGUGAAUGAUGAAGGUCUUAGGAUUGUAAAAUUCUUUCAGCGGGGACGAUAAUGACGGUACCCGCAGAAGAAGCUCCGGCUAACUUCGUG
rnacentral:rRNA from 1 species